UUCCAUCUCUUGCACACUGGA
rnacentral:miRNA from 4 species